UACGUAGGGUGCAAGCGUUGUCCGGAUUUAUUGGGCGUAAAGAGCUCGUAGGCGGCUUGUUGCGUCAGCUGUGAAAAACCCGCAGCUCAACUGUGGGCUUGCAGCUGAUACGGGCAGGCUUGAGUUCGGUAGGGAGACUGGAAUUCCUGGUGUAGCGGUGAAAUGCGUAGAGAUCCGGAGGAACACCAAAGGCGAAGGCAGUGUCCUGGGGAGUACCUGACGCUCAGGUGCGAAAGCCAGGGGAGCGAACGG
rnacentral:rRNA from 1 species